ACUCAAAUGAAUUGACGGGGCCCCGCACAAGCGGCGGAGCAUGUUCAUUAAUUCGAUGCAACGCGAAGAACCUUACCUGGGUUUGACAUAUACCGGAAACAUCUGGAGACAGGUGCCCCUUUUUGGUCGGUAUACAGGUGGUGCAUGGCUGUCGUCAGCUCGUGUCGUGAGAUGUUGGGUUAAGUCCCGCAACGAGCGCAACCCUCGUCCAUUGUUGCCAGCGGGUAAUGCCGGGGACUCAAUGGAGACCGCCGGGGCCAACUCGGAGGAAGGUGGGGAUGAGGUCAAGUCAUCAUGCCCCUUAUGUCCAGGGCUUGAAACAUGCUACAAUGGCAGGUACAAAGGGCUGCGAUACCGCAAGGUUGAGCGAAUCCCAAAAAGCCUGUCUCAGUUCGGAUUGGGGUCUGCAACUCGACCCCAUGAAGUCGGAGUCGCUAGUAAUCGCAGAUCAGCAACGCUGCGGUGAAUACGUUCCCGGGGCUUGUACACACCGCCCGU
rnacentral:rRNA from 1 species